UGCCAGCCGCCGCGGUAAUACGGAGGGUGCAAGCGUUAUCCGGAAUCACUGGGUUUAAAGGGUGCGUAGGCGGCUCGAUAAGUCAGAGGUGAAAGCUCCUAGCUCAACUAGGGAACUGCCUUUGAUACUGUCGGACUUGAAUCAGGUUGAGGUUAGCGGAAUGUGACAUGUAGCGGUGAAAUGCUUAGAUAUGUCAUAGAACACCAAUUGCGAAGGCAGCUGGCUAGACCUGUAUUGACGCUGAGGCACGAAAGCGUGGGGAGCGAACAGGAUUAGAUA
rnacentral:rRNA from 1 species